ACCAUUUUCUGAGAGCAGGAAAAUGGGUUUCGCUCUUAAGCCAUCUUCAAUGGCUUGCGAGAGAUUUGGACUUCGUAGCGACCAACGCGCCUCCAACUUUAUUACUUUCUUCAAUUUUUUCCCAUGGAUGAUUCUCCAUUCUUGCUGUAAUUUCACUGUUCUUCACCAAAUCAACAUAUUCCUUCUCUGUUUCUUCAAGCAAUUCCCUCUCUCUCUCUCUCUCCCCGUGUGUUUUUAAAGCUUCAAAUCUCCCAUUCCCUCUCUAAACCUAAUUUCUAAGAAACCCUUCUCCUCCAACAACUCCUCUUUCGACGUUUCAACCAUUGGGGUCUCCUUGUUCUUCAAAUACACUCUGCUUCUUCGCUUAUCAAACGGAAUACCCGAACCCCAUUUCGGUUUUUGCUUGUUUUGUUACUCCAACGCUCUGAUUUGGGUUCUUGAAGUCAGCAAUGAUGGAGCUCUGGUUUUGGGUUUUUGCUGUUUCUUUAGUUUCGAGGAUUGCCGCUGUCCCCAAUGCUGUUCCCACCGAACGGAUUUCAGGAAGUGCUGGGGAUGUGUUAGAAGAUAAUCCAGUUGGAAGACUAAAAGUGUAUGUUUAUGAUCUUCCAAGCAAAUACAAUAAGAAAACUCUUCAAAAGGAUCCAAGAUGUCUCACUCAUAUGUUUGCUGCUGAGAUAUACAUGCAUAGGUUCUUGUUGAACAGCCCUGUUAGAACACUCAACCCUGAUGAAGCUGAUUGGUUCUAUACUCCAAUUUAUGUGACCUGUGACCUUACCCCCAAUGGCUUGCCAUUGCCCUUCAAAUCCCCACGAAUGAUGCGCAGCGCCAUUCAGCUUAUCUCUUCCAAUUGGCCUUAUUGGAAUAGAACCGAGGGCGCUGAUCACUUCUUUGUUGUUCCUCAUGACUUUGGUGCCUGCUUUCAUUAUCAGGAAGAGAAGGCUAUUGAUCGUGGAAUUCUUCCCUUACUCCAGCGUGCAACUUUGGUUCAAACUUUUGGACAAAGGCACCAUGUUUGCUUGAACGAGGGUUCCAUCACUAUUCCUCCCUAUUGUCCUCCCCAGAAAAUGAAAACUCACCUGAUUCCCCCGGAUACUCCUCGUUCGAUCUUCGUCUAUUUCCGGGGAUUGUUUUACGAUGUUAACAAUGACCCAGAAGGUGGUUAUUACGCGAGAGGUGCAAGAGCAGCAGUAUGGGAGAACUUCAAAAACAAUCCUCUCUUCGACAUCUCGACCGACCAUCCAACGACAUAUUACGAAGAUAUGCAGCGAGCAAUAUUCUGUUUAUGUCCUCUUGGUUGGGCGCCGUGGAGUCCGAGGCUGGUGGAAGCAGUGGUGUUUGGUUGCAUUCCUGUUAUCAUAGCCGACGACAUUGUCUUGCCUUUCGCUGAUGCCAUUCCAUGGGAAGAGAUUGGCGUGUUUGUAGAUGAAAAGGACGUGUCGAACCUCGACACGAUCCUGACAUCAAUACCGCCUGAUGUGAUAUUAAGGAAGCAACGACUGCUGGCAAACCCGUCGAUGAAACGAGCCAUGAUGUUCCCUCAACCAGCGCAAUCGGGCGAUGCUUUCCAUCAGAUCCUGAAUGGGUUGGCUAGAAAAUUGCCACACAGUAAGAGUGUUUACUUGAAGCCUGAUGAGAUGGUUUUGAAUUGGACUGCUGGACCUGUGGGGGACCUGAAGCCUUGGUAGAUAUAUGGUUCAACUUUUUGGCUGUUGUGUCUUAGUUUUGAUUGAUUUUGGGUACACAGCUUUUAGAGGUGUCUCCUAGCGGUACAGCGGACUCAUUUGAUUGAAAAGGUAUAAGAAUCCGAGCUAAAUAUUGAAUCAGUGAUGAAGAGAAUUAUUGCAAAUUAUCCUAUGCAUGCGUCAUGGUCUUCUGAGUUGCAAUGUUACCAUCCACCGUACAUUGAAGUCUUGCCUUUACCUGAAAAAAAUAAACUCAGUAAGUGACCCCACCUUUGGGAUUAGAUACACAUGAUCAUAAGUGAGACCUAUCAUUUAAAUUCGUAUUCCCUUAGAUGCCAACGGGACUAAGGAUUUCUCUA